AGCAGCCGCGGUAAUUCCAGCUCCAAUAGCGUAUAUUAAAGUUGUUGCAGUUAAAAAGCUCGUAGUUGAAUUUCGAGAUCAGUACGCUGGUCGUGCCUUCGGUAUGCACUGGUGUCACUGGUUUCUCCCUUCUGAAGAACCGUCAUGCCAUUCAGUUGGUGUGGCGGGGAAUCAGGACUGUUACUUUGAAAAAAUUAGAGUGUUUAAAGCAGGCUCGCGCUUGAAUACAUUAGCAUGGAAUAAUGAAAUAGGACGUUUGACCCUAUUUUGUUGGUUUCUAGGAUCGACGUAAUGAUUAAUAGGGAUAGUUGGGGGCAUUAGUAUUCAAUUGUCAGAGGUGAAAUUCUUGGAUUUAUUGAAGACUAACUACUGCGAAAGCAUUUGCCAAGGAUGUUUUCAUUAAUCAAGAACGAAAGUUAGGGGAUCGAAGACGAUCAGAUACCGUCGUAGUCUUAACAUAAACUAUGCCGACUAGGGAUCGGAUGAUGUUAAUUUUUAUGA
rnacentral:rRNA from 1 species